rnacentral:rRNA from 1 species
AUUGUUGGUCUAGUCUUGUCGAAUGCUCGCGUUGUCCAUAAGGUUACAAUUGUACCACGCGGCCGUGCAGGCGGAUACAUGAUUGCACUUCCUAAAGAGGAUCAAAUGCUUCUAUCUAAAGAAGAUAUGAAAGAGCAAUUAGCUGGCUUAAUGGGUGGACGUGUAGCUGAAGAAAUUAUCUUUAAUGUCCAAACUACAGGAGCUUCAAACGACUUUGAACAAGCGACACAAAUGGCACGUGCAAUGGUUACAGAGUACGGUAUGAGUGAAAAACUUGGCCCAGUACAAUAUGAAGGAAACCAUGCUAUGUUUGGUGCACAGAAUCCUCAAAAAUCAAUUUCAGAACAAACAGCUUAUGAAAUUGAUGAAGAGGUUCGUUCAUUAUUAAAUGAGGCACGAAAUAAAGCUGCUGAAAUUAUUCAGUCAAAUCGUGAAACUCACAAGUUAAUUGCAGAAGCAUUAUUGAAAUACGAAACAUUGGAUAGUACACAAAUUAAAGCUCUUUACGAAACAGGAAAGAUGCCUGAAGCAGUAGAAGAGGAAUCUCAUGCACUAUCCUAUGAUGAAGUAAAGUCAAAAAUGAAUGACGAAAAAUAACCCUGAGAGAGGCUGGAGCCUCUCUUUUUUGUGCAGUUUAGGAGCUAAAGGGAACAGAAUGGAGAAAAUGGAACAAAUGUGUUUUCUAAUCUGUUAGACUGUAUCUAGAAAGGGGAAAAUUAUGAUUAAAGAAUUGUAUGAAGAAGUCCAAGGGACUGUGUAUAAGUGUAGAAAUGAAUAUUACCUUCAUUUAUGGGAAUUGUCGGAUUGGGACCAAGAAGGCAUGCUCUGCUUACAUGAAUUGAUUAGUAGAGAAGAAGGACUGGUAGACGAUAUUCCACGUUUAAGGAAAUAUUUCAAAACCAAGUUUCGAAAUCGAAUUUUAGACUAUAUCCGUAAGCAGGAAAGUCAGAAGCGUAGAUACGAUAAAGAACCCUAUGAAGAAGUGGGUGAGAUCAGUCAUCGUAUAAGUGAGGGGGGUCUCUGGCUAGAUGAUUAUUAUCUCUUUCAUGAAACACUAAGAGAUUAUAGAAACAAACAAAGUAAAGAGAAACAAGAAGAACUAGAACGCGUCUUAAGCAAUGAACGAUUUCGAGGGCGUCAAAGAGUAUUAAGAGACUUACGCAUUGUGUUUAAGGAGUUUACUAUCCGUACCCANNNNNNNNNNNNNNNNNNNNNNNNNNNNNNNAAAAGACUGUAUAAUAGUAAGAGUUGAAAAUAACAACUCAGGUCCGUUGGUCAAGGGGUUAAGACACCGCCUUUUCACGGCGGUAACACGGGUUCGAAUCCCGUACGGACUAUGGUAUGUUGCGUCAGGACCACUUGAUGAAAAAAAGUUUAAAAAAACUUAAAAAUCUUCAAAAAAGUGUUGACAAGCGAAAGCAGUUGUGAUAUACUAAUAUAGUUGUCGCUUGAGAGAAGCAAGUGACAAAGACCUUUGAAAACUGAACAAGACGAACCAAUGUGCAGGGCGCUACAACAUAAGUUGUAGUACUGAACAAUNNNNNNNNNNNNNNNNNNNNNNNNNNNNNNNNNNNNNNNNNNNNNNNNNNNNNNNNNNNNNNNNNNNNNNNNNNNNNNNNNNNNNNNNNNNCUUAAAAGGUGCACUUGCAUCACUACCAGAUGGACCUGCGUUGUAUUAGCUAGUUGGUGGGGUAACGGCUCACCAAGGCGACGAUACAUAGCCGACCUGAGAGGGUGAUCGGCCACACUGGGACUGAGACACGGCCCAGACUCCUACGGGAGGCAGCAGUAGGGAAUCUUCGGCAAUGGACGGAAGUCUGACCGAGCAACGCCGCGUGAGUGAAGAAGGUUUUCGGAUCGUAAAGCUCUGUUGUAAGAGAAGAACGAGUGUGAGAGUGGAAAGUUCACACUGUGACGGUAUCUUACCAGAAAGGGACGGCUAACUACGUGCCAGCAGCCGCGGUAAUACGUAGGUCCCGAGCGUUGUCCGGAUUUAUUGGGCGUAAAGCGAGCGCAGGCGGUUAGAUAAGUCUGAAGUUAAAGGCUGUGGCUUAACCAUAGUAGGCUUUGGAAACUGUUUAACUUGAGUGCAAGAGGGGAGAGUGGAAUUCCAUGUGUAGCGGUGAAAUGCGUAGAUAUAUGGAGGAACACCGGUGGCGAAAGCGGCUCUCUGGCUUGUAACUGACGCUGAGGCUCGAAAGCGUGGGGAGCAAACAGGAUUAGAUACCCUGGUAGUCCACGCUGUAAACGAUGAGUGCUAGGUGUUAGACCCUUUCCGGGGUUUAGUGCCGUAGCUAACGCAUUAAGCACUCCGCCUGGGGAGUACGACCGCAAGGUUGAAACUCAAAGGAAUUGACGGGGGCCCGCACAAGCGGUGGAGCAUGUGGUUUAAUUCGAAGCAACGCGAAGAACCUUACCAGGUCUUGACAUCCCUCUGACCGCUCUAGAGAUAGAGUUUUCCUUCGGGACAGAGGUGACAGGUGGUGCAUGGUUGUCGUCAGCUCGUGUCGUGAGAUGUUGGGUUAAGUCCCGCAACGAGCGCAACCCCUAUUGUUAGUUGCCAUCAUUUAGUUGGGCACUCUAGCGAGACUGCCGGUAAUAAACCGGAGGAAGGUGGGGAUGACGUCAAAUCAUCAUGCCCCUUAUGACCUGGGCUACACACGUGCUACAAUGGCUGGUACAACGAGUCGCAAGCCGGUGACGGCAAGCUAAUCUCUUAAAGCCAGUCUCAGUUCGGAUUGUAGGCUGCAACUCGCCUACAUGAAGUCGGAAUCGCUAGUAAUCGCGGAUCAGCACGCCGCGGUGAAUACGUUCCCGGGCCUUGUACACACCGCCCGUCACACCACGAGAGUUUGUAACACCCGAAGUCGGUGAGGUAACCGUAAGGAGCCAGCCGCCUAAGGUGGGAUAGAUGAUUGGGGUGAAGUCGUAACAAGGUAGCCGUAUCGGAAGGUGCGGCUGGAUCACCU